GUUUGUUCUUCGUUGACCGGCUAGCAUUGCAUUUUGAGUUCAGUUUUGGCAGAUUUUUGGGGGUGGAUCAUCCAGAACUGACAUUGGCUCGCUCUAUUCUGGGUGAUUAGACUUCGUGGUUAUUGUCUGAAGGUUUCAGAUUCAUUUUAAUGGUGGAAGCAAAUGGUAUAGACAACCUACGACCGAAAACUUUUCCAGUUGUGACUCUGCUGAUCGUUUUGAUGUAAUCAUGGAAGGUCCUUCAAUUUCUCAACUGUCUUGGAUUAGAAUAACAAUUUGGCUUCAAAACAAUGGCAAUUUAUAUUUAUCCUCAUAUUGGAAAGGCUGAGGAAAUUUUUUUUUCUACGUAUUGAAUGGGUUGAGAAAAUGUUAAGUAUCUAUUUAAAAUAUUUAAAUCCUU